GGCGGAGUAGCUCAGCGGUAGAGCAGCGGAAUCAUAAUCCGUGGGUCGGGGGUUCGAAUCCCUCCUCCGCUACCA
rnacentral:tRNA from 1 species